GUGCUCAUUUCAGCAGCACAUAUAUUAAAAUUCGAACGAUACAGAGAGGAUUAGCAUGGCCCCUGCACAAGGAUGACGUGCAAAUUUGUGAAGCGGUCCAUAUUUGC
ensembl:snRNA U6 U6 spliceosomal RNA